GACGAACGCUGGCGGCGUGCUUAACACAUGCAAGUCGAACGGAAAGGCCCUGCUUUUGUGGGGUGCUCGAGUGGCGAACGGGUGAGUAACACGUGAGUAACCUGCCCUUGACUUUGGGAUAACUUCAGGAAACUGGGGCUCAUACCGGAUAGGAGCUCCUGCUGCAUGGUGGGGGUUGGAAAGUUUCGGCGGUUGGGGAUGGACUCGCGGCUUAUCAGCUUGUUGGUGGGGUAGUGUCUUACCAAGGCUUUGACGGGUAGCCGGCCUGGGAGGGUGACCGGCCACAUUGGGACUGGGAUGCGGCCCAGACUCCUACGGGAGGCAGAAGUGGAGAAUAUUGCACAAUGGGAGGAAGCCUGAUGCAGCAACGCCGCGUGGGGGAUGAGGGCCUUCGGGUUGUAAACCGCUUUCGCUUGUGACGAAGCGUGAGUGACGGUAAUGGGUAAAGAAGCACCGGCUAACUACGUG
rnacentral:rRNA from 1 species